GCCCCUCUAGCUCAAUCGGAAGAGCAGCUGACUUUUAAUCAGCGGGUAGUCGGAUCGAAACCGACGGGGGGCA
rnacentral:tRNA from 1 species